rnacentral:rRNA from 1 species
CAAUAGCGUAUAUUAAAGGUGUUGCAGUUAAAAAGCUCGUAGUUGGAUUUCUGGUGGGAGCGAUCGGUCUGGCGCUUAGCGCGAGUACUUGCAUCGUCUCCGGCCAUCCUUGGGGAGAGUCUGUCUGGCAUUAGGUUGUCGGGCAGAGGAUCCUCAUCGUUUACUGUGAAAAAAUUAGAGUGUUCAAAGCAGGCUUAUGCCGUUGAAUAUAUUAGCAUGGAAUAAUAAGAUAGGACUUUGGUACUAUUUUGUUGGUUUGCGCACCAAAGUAAUGAUUAAUAGGGACAGUUGGGGGUAUUCGUAUUCCGUUGUCAGAGGUGAAAUUCUUGGAUUUACGGAAGACGAACUACUGCGAAAGCAUUUACCAAGGAUGUUUNCAUUAA